AGCGAACGCUGGCGGCAGGCCUAACACAUGCAAGUCGAACGAAGUCUUCGGACUUAGUGGCGGACGGGUGAGUAACACGUGGGAACGUGCCUUUAGGUUCGGAAUAACUCAGGGAAACUUGCGCUAAUACCGAAUGUGCCCUUCGGGGGAAAGAUUAUCUCCUUUAGAGCGGCCCGCGUCUGAUUAGCUAGUUGGUGAGGUAAAGGCUCACCAAGGCGACGAUCAGUAGCUGGUCUGAGAGGUAUGAUCAGCCACAUUGGGACUGAGACACGGCCCAAACUCCUACGGGAGGCAGCAGUGGGGAAUCUUGCGCAAUGGGCGAAAGCCUGACGCAGCCAUGCCGCGUGAAUGAUGAAGGUCUUAGGAUUGUAAAAUUCUUUCACCGGGGACGAUAAUGACGGUACCCGGAGAAGAAGCCCCGGCUAACUUCGUGCCAGCCGCCGCGGUAAUAC
rnacentral:rRNA from 1 species